rnacentral:rRNA from 1 species
UUCGGACUGGGAGCGUACACAGGUGCUGCAUGGCUGUCGUCAGCUCGUGUCGUGAGAUGUUGGGUUAAGUCCGCAACGAGCGCAACCCCUGCUGCCAGUUGCCAACGGGUGAAGCCGGGCACUCUGGCGGGACUGCCAUCGACAAGAUGGAGGAAGGUGGGGAUGACGUCAAGUCAUCAUGGUCCUUAUGUCCAGGGCGACACACGUGCUACAAUGGCCGGCACAGCGGGAAGCGAGGCAGUGAUGCCAAGCGGAUCCCUUAAAGCCGGUCUCAGUUCGGAUUGAAGUCUGCAACUCGACUUCAUGAAGCUGGAAUCGCUAGUAAUCGCAGAUCAGCCAAGCUGCGGUGAAUACGUUCCCGGGCCUU